GGGUCAUAGUUCAGUAGUAGAACACUUGCCUAACAUGUGUGAGGCACUGGGUUCAAUCCCCAGUAUUUA
rnacentral:tRNA from 1 species